UAGGGAAUCUUCCACAAUGGGCGAAAGCCUGAUGGAGCAACGCCGCGUGUGUGAUGAAGGCUUUCGGUCGUAAAGCACUGUUGUAUGGGAAGAACAGCUAGAAUAGGAAAUGAUUUUAGUUAUGACGGUACCAUACCAGAAAGGGACGGCUAAAUACGUGCCAG
rnacentral:rRNA from 1 species